GAUGAACGCUGGCGGCGUGCCUAAUACAUGCAAGUCGAGCGAACAGACGAGGAGCUUGCUCCUCUGAUGUUAGCGGCGGACGGGUGAGUAACACGUGGAUAACCUACCUAUAAGACUGGGAUAACUUCGGGAAACCGGAGCUAAUACCGGAUAAUAUAUUGAACCGCAUGGUUCAAUAGUGAACGACGGUUUUGCUGUCACUUAUAGAUGGAUCCGCGCCGCAUUAGCUAGUUGGUAAGGUAACGGCUUACCAAGGCAACGAUGCGUAGCCGACCUGAGAGGGUGAUCCGCCACACUGGAACUGAGACACGGUCCAGACUCCUAAGGGAGGCAGGAAUAGGGAAUCUUCCGCAAUGGGCGAAAGCCUGACGGAGCAACGCCGCGUGAGUGAUGAAGGUCUUCGGAUCGUAAAACUCUGUUAUUAGGGAAGAACAAAUGUGUAAGUAACUAUGCACGUCUUGACGGUACCUAAUCAGAAAGCCACUGCUAACUACGUG
rnacentral:rRNA from 1 species